AAUGAACGUUGGCGGCAUGGAUUAGGCAUGCAAGUCGUGCGAGAAGUCCCGAUUUGAUUCUUCGGAUGAAGAUCGGGAUGGACAGCGGCGAAAGGGUGAGUAACGCGUGGAUACCAACCCUCAGGUACGGAAUAGCGGCGGGAAACUGCCGGUAAUGCCGUAUAACAUCUCCGGAUCAAAGCUCCGGCGCCUGGGGACGGGUCCGCGUACCAUUAGCUUGUUGGUGGGGUAAUGGCCUACCAAGGCUGAGAUGGUUAGUGGGCGUGAGAGCGUGGCCCACCACACUGGGACUGAGACACUGCCCAGACACCUACGGGUGGCUGCAGUCGAGAAUCUUUGUCAAUGGGCGCAAGCCUGAACAAGCGAUGCCGCGUGCGGGAUGAAGGCCUUCGGGUUGUAAACCGCUGUCAGAGGGGAGCAAAUUUUGAGCGAUCCUCAGAGGAAGCCCGGGCUAAGUUCGUG
rnacentral:rRNA from 1 species